GAAAGCGAUGCUAAUACCGAAUGAUAUCUCAAAAACUUCGGUUUUUGAGAUCAAAGGUGGCCGCUCCAUGGAAGCUACUGUUAGGAGAUGAGCCCGCGUACCAUUAGCUUGUUGGUAGGGUAAUGGCCUACCAAGGCACCGAUGGUUAGCUGGUCUGAGAGGAUGAUCAGCCACACUGGAACUGACACACGGUCCAGACUCCUACGGGAGGCAGCAGUGAGGAAUUUUGCGCAAUGGGGGAAACCCUGACGCAGCAACGCCGCGUGAGUGAUGAAGGCCUUCGGGUCGUAAAGCUCUGUCAAGUGGGAAGAACCUGCCCUGUGCUAAUAUCACCGGGCACUGACGGUACCACUGAAGGAAGCACCGGCUAACUCCGUGCCAGCAGCCGCGGUAACACGGGGGGUGCAAGCGUUAUUCGGAAUCACUGGGCGUAAAGAGCGCGUAGGCGGUCUCUUAAGUCAGAUGUGAAAGCCCGGGGCUCAACCCCGGAAGUGCAUUUUGAACGGAGGGACU
rnacentral:rRNA from 1 species